rnacentral:tRNA from 1 species
GGAGAAUUACUCAAGAGGCUGAAGAGGACGGUUUGCUAAAUCGUUAGACGGUAUUUCACCGUGCGAGGGUUCGAAUCCCUCAUUCUCCG